CGGGGUGUGGCGCAGUCCGGAUAGCGUACUUGAAUGGGGUUCAAGUGGUCGCUGGUUCAAAUCCAGUCACCCCGACCA
rnacentral:tRNA from 1 species